UAAUACGGGGGGAGCGAGCGUUGUUCGGAUUUAUUGGGCGUAAAGGGCGUACAGGCGGUAGUGUAAGUCAGAUGUGAAAUGCCUCGGCUCAACCGGGGAUCUGCAUUUGAUACUGCAUUACUUGAGUACAGGAGAGGAGAGCGGAAUUCUAGGUGUAGCGGUGGAAUGUGUAGAUAUCUGGAAGAACACCAGUGGCGAAGGCGGCUCUCUGGCCUGAUACUGACGCUGACGCGCGAAAGCUAGGGGAGCAAACAGGAUUAGAUACCCUGGUAGUCCUAGCUGUAAACGUUGGGCACUAGGUGUUGGGGGUAUCGACCCCCUCAGUGCCGAAGCUAACGCAUUAAGUGCCCCGCCUGGGGAGUACGGCCGCAAGGCUG
rnacentral:rRNA from 2 species